CAAUAGCGUAUAUUAACGUUGUUGCAGUUAAAAAGCUCGUAGUUGGAUUUCUGGAGGGAGCGUCGGCCCGUAUUUACGAGUGCGUGACGUCUCUGUCCAUCCUUGCGGGAAGGCACGGCAUUGAUUUCUUGUGUCGGAUCGCAUCAUUUACUGUGAAAAAAUUAGAGUGUUCAAAGCAGGCUUUCGCUUGAAUACAUUAGCAUGGAAUAAUAAGAUAGGACUUUGGUGCUAUUUUGUUGGUUGAGCCUAAAGUAAUGAUUAAUAGGGAUAGUUGGGGGCACCUGUAUUGCGUUGUCAGAGGUGAAAUUCUUGGAUUUACGCAAGACAAACAGCUGCGAAAGCGUCUGCCAAGGAUGUUUUCAUUAA
rnacentral:rRNA from 1 species